GAGGGUAUAGCUCAAGUGGUAGAGUGCUGGCUUAGCAUACACAAGGUCCUGGGUUCAAUCCCCAGUACCUCCU
rfam:Camelus ferus unplaced genomic scaffold scaffold1906, whole genome shotgun sequence.